CCCGGUGCUGGUGCUGAGCCUCGGGUCGGGUUGGGGAGCCCCCCGGGGGGGGAGAGGGGAGCGGUGCCCUCCGCCGGGGGGCCCCCUCUCGGCGGCCGGAGCACGGUGGGCACGGCCGCUGGGGGAGAGAAGUCGCGAAACGGAGAGCUGGGGAUGGAAAAGCGGGCAUCCUACAGCACAUGCCCACGUGUUGGGUGGGGAAGGAGCCGUCUCUUCCCACAGCCAUGUGCCUCUCAGAGCCCAGCAUGCCCAGGACAGCGAGGGUCUCCAGCCUGAGACACGACGGGGGUGUACACAAUCCCGUGCUCUGAAGGACGGUGAUCUGCGCUGCGCACAAAACAUCCUUUUCUCAGCCUCUGCCUUCCCCGUGGAUUGGGCUGCCUUCUUUCUUGUUGCAGAUCAAGAAGGGGAACUCCAAGGAUCUUCACCUCUGCACAUGACCAGCAGCAGUCUUGCUUCUGCCUUCUUUCCAACAGCGAUUUGCAAGCUCCGCCAGCAGUGGCAGUCUCUAACUUGAGCGUCCAUCCUAAUUCCUGCAAUUUCCCAUGACAGCCAGCACUUGGCAGUUCCUGUGGUUCCCAGCCUCAGUAAUACAGACUACCCAAGCACGGUGUAAACCCUCAGAAGUGUUCCCUUCACCUUCGCAUCUGCCCCGUCAUGGGCUUCCUCACACCUACAGCCACAUCUUCUGCACUAGCUACCACAUCGCAUGCCUUUCCCAGCAGAGGC